GCACUUUCUCUCUCAAAAUAAACAAAUAAACUUAAAAAAAAAAAAAAGUAUAUUGAGUUAACUGAGGGCUAUGUAAUACUUGCAGAAUAUUAGAGGCUUGGGACCGUGUAAAAUGAUUUCAGUCAACCACUGCUGUACCCAUAGGAGACUGGAGCACAGAAGAACUGAAUGACGUACCCACUGCAGGUUCCUUGGUCAAGGCUGGAACGACAGCCCGUACGUCUCGACUCUUCGUCUUGGGCUUUCUCCGCUAUAAUCACGCUGCCCCCCUCCUUAGGUCAUAGACUCCUCAACGUUCUUUUAGACACAAGCCGUGGUAACAAUGGCACUAACAACAAAAGACCUGCGUCACACUGGUUGAAACCGAGAAUCCGGUGGCUCACGCAACAACCUAGUCCACAGGCUCUACAGAUGAGCUAAAUGGCUGCCAAGUAAAGUCCUGACGUCACCUGAAGAUCUUGCCCUUCCCCACCCCCCCAACAGGCCUUCCAAAGUUGCACAUUGCAUGCCAUUGGGUCUGAUGGGAUAGGGCACCAUCUUGGAAAUAGUCACCGUGGCCCGAAGGUACUAUUCUUACUAAAUAGGCCUGAAUCCCAUGUCUACCCAGAGUGUAGAGUCUACACCCUUUGAAAGACUUGUCUGAGGGUACACAUCAGGACCAGACAAGAGGGAGGCAGAGGUGCCCAUCUGAACAAGAAUAGCCACUGUGGCCUAAAACGCAAGUUUCUCCUUACCUCGUUUUCUUAGUAAAUUCACCUGCAUCCUCCGCUUU